rnacentral:lncRNA from 1 species
AAAGCGGACGAUCAGGCCGAACCCAGAGCGUGCAUGCUCCCUUCGUGUCCCUUGUCCUAAGUUAAUGAGUAAACUUUGGUUAGGACGUUUGGCUUGUGAUAUUUCGGUGGCGGACACCCAACGUCUUAUCCUUCACUUAAACUUAAUCCUGCAGACCCAGCACCGGGGCAGGUUAGCCUUUUCUUCUCCAAGCUCACCCGCCCUCGCCCCUAUAAACUACCAAUGGACAUCCUCUGUGUUGGUCACUGGGAAGCACUGAAGGCUCGAAGAGCCUCUCUCUUCUGACGACAUGCCCAGCUGUAUCACAGAGGAGAGUGUUAAGUCAGAACGGCGAUCUCCAUGACGACGGAGGGGAGCGGCUACCAAAAUGACCUUCCAAAGGACGGCCACCUCUGAAUGCUGUGAUACAGUGGUAACAUGGGAAAAUAAAGUCUAGCUAUUAGGAAUGAACUCUGUGAGGAGAAAGGAACCUUUAUUUAGGAAUUGUGUGAGAGAAAAGAGAGGUACAAGGAAAAUACAUUUCGAAGAUCUAACGACCACCACUUAUCUUAUCUCAAGACAAUAUUCAACUCUGUCAAAAUCCUAACAGUAAAGGAAAAAGGUAAACAAGGAAAA